GGGGCCAUAGCUCAGCUGGGAGAGCACCUGCUUUGGGAGCAGGGGGCCGUGGGUUCGAGCCCGGCUGGCUCCA
rnacentral:tRNA from 1 species